CUCAGGGUAUGUAUUAUUUGCAAUUGUUUGUAAUUCUAUAUUUGUAACAUACAGUAAUAAUAAAUUCCAUUUGUUUGUUUUAUUCUACUGUAGGCUACAAUACUAGAGUGGGUUACUCCAUGGUCAACCAACAGACACUGUCCUGGAGCAACAUCAGCUGUUAGACUGACUGAAGUGGAACUCCAAUGUUUUGAUCUGAAUGAAUAAAUGAAUGAAUGAAUUGAAGUUCUUCAGAAACAUAUAUACUGGUUAAAAUAAGAAUUGUGUCUGCUCUUGAUGUUUGAUGUUGACUGAUCUGACCGACUAGCCAUCCAACCAACUGACCAACCAUCCCUCCAACCAACCGACUAAACUACAUUUAUCCCACUAUUAAUACACAGCUCUUUUGUAACACAACACCAUGCUGUUCAGCUGUGUCCCAGUUAAUGCAGACUGCUUAUAUUUCUGGACCCCUGUCAACUGGACCGGUGAAACACCUGUGUCCACCACAGAUUGAAUCAACCAAAGGGUCAGUUACCUCCGGAAAGUCCCUUUUUUUUUAACAAAAAAGUUUAUCCAGGUUUAUUCUGGAUCCUCCCACCAGGUGUCACUGCAGGCAGAAAUCUAAGAGAAGCUCACACGCCUCUGACUGAAUUUGAACCAACACUGUAGUGAAAAUGACUGACAGCAAACUCUGAUCACAUUUCAGCAGUCAAGUUCUAUUGGACUCCAGGAAGAGUCAAAGGUUUGGUGUUACCUCCUCCAAACGGUGCCCAGAUGACCCGCCGUAUGGCCUUGACCCAGUCGUCCAUGUCCGUCUGGGAGUUGGCCAUGAGCAGGAAGGAUUCAUGGCUGACGGCUGCACGGUCCUUCUCUCCUGCUCCACCUACAGGGGCAAAUAGAGGGAAUCAAACAGUACAAAAGAGAAGAGGUCCUCACUCUCCUCCUCCUCCUCCUCCACCACUACUGCACCAAGAGAAAAUCAGCUGGCAGGUAAUUAAUGUGCUUGUAUUUUUUUCCUAUAACACUCUCAUGUCCAGAAGGAAGAAAAUUGAACGUUCACAGAUUCUGUUCAGUGUUGCAUCCACUUCCUCCAAUUAUCACGUUGUUUCAUUUGACAGUGUAAAUGGAGGAGGAGGAGGAGGAGGCGCAGGUGGUGAUGGCUUCCUGUUGUACCACCCCACCUGCACUCUAACUCCACCGAUCCUCAAAUUUCCAAUUAAUAAUCAGAUGAGAGGGAGAGAAAAAAACAACACCAGAAUGACUUCUCUCACACGUCCUGUUCUCAGAGGGCGGGGGCUGGGUAGGUCUACAUCGGUUCUAGAUUUUUUCUAGAUGUGUCUGUCUCACACCCAGGCACGUUUCACCAUGCAUUUUCCCAUAAUCCACUGGGAGUUACACAUCAGUAGAGGCUGAUGAGAAUUGACAGCUGCUGAUUGAAGACAGUCUGUAACUGUGUGUGUCUGUGUGUGUGG